rnacentral:rRNA from 1 species
GUAGUCAAGAUGAGAAUUCUAAGGUGAGCGAGCGAACUCUCGUUAAGGAACUCGGCAAAAUGACCCCGUAACUUCGGGAGAAGGGGUGCUCUUUAGGGUUAACGCCCAGAAGAGCCGCAGUGAAUAGGCCCAAGCGACUGUUUAUCAAAAACACAGGUCUCUGCUAAACCGUAAGGUGAUGUAUAGGGGCUGACGCCUGCCCGGUGCUGGAAGGUUAAGAGGAGUGGUUAGCUUCUGCGAAGCUACGAAUCGAAGCCCCAGUAAACGGCGGCCGUAACUAUAACGGUCCUAAGGUAGCGAAAUUCCUUGUCGGGUAAGUUCCGACCCGCACGAAAGGCGUAACGAUUUGGGCACUGUCUCAACGAGAGACUCGGUGAAAUCAUAGUACCUGUGAAGAUGCAGGUUACCCGCGACAGGACGGAAAGACCCCGUGGAGCUUUACUGUAGCCUGAUAUUGAAAUUCGGCACAGCUUGUACAGGAUAGGUAGGAGCCUUUGAAACGUGAGCGCUAGCUUACGUGGAGGCGCUGGUGGGAUACUACCCUAGCUGUGUU